UUGAACUAAAAAAAUCAGAUGACAUACAACAGCAAUUUGAGAGCUUUGGAGGAUUUGUUAAAGCGCUAUUUUCUGUAGGAAAUGUUUUUAGCUAGAAGGAACCUCAGGGAUUAUAUUUUGUCAUGUAUAGUCUAUGAGACAGCAGCUGGUAUUUAGGGAUGGAAAAAGGCUAAAUUUCCAUUAAUCUUGGAGUGAACAGACAAGCCCAUUACCUAAAAAGGGGCAUGAAAUUAAGCCCAAAGAAUGCUUUUGUAAUUGAUAUGUUGUCUAAGAGGAAGCCACUGCAAUGAAUACCAGAUGAUAUACUUUAGUGCUGAUAAAUACCUGCAGCAUUAGGGAACAGCUGCAGAUGCUGAACAGGGAAAUAGGCAAAGGAAGUUACAAAAGUCAGUUCUUCAUUAACCCCUUAGGGAAUAAUUUCCAUUAUACAGAGAGUAUUCAUUGCAGCACAUUUAGCCAUUUGGUUGGCAGUGUAGCAUAGUGUAAAACCUGCCUGCAUUUCCGACACACAUGGCCUUUGUAAGGUCAUAAGGAUGCACCUGAAAUGCAGAGCAGGGGAAACUCCAGAAUGCAGAAAAGAGUUAAUGUAGUUGCAGAUGUGGGAUCUGAGAAAGGGAUUUAAGUGAGCCCUCUGGCUACCUUCAGAUUGGAAAUGGGCAUGAUUGGAAAGGAAUGCCUUGGUGACCCAGAAGUGUUUUCCCCGGAAGUUCCUCAUCCUACCAAGAAGAUGUGAAAGUGAAAAAGCCAAGUUGCCCUUCCAGGAGAGGGGAAGCUGCUUGCUGUAAGACCUUUGGAUUGUGGUAAAUUCAGUGCUGAGAGUGGAAGUGAGAGUCUUCUUUGAUGCGUUUGGUGUGCCUAUGCUCAGGCAGAUUUUUAGUCCAUCCUCUAAUAUCUGCAAGGAAAGAUCAUGGAGCAAAGAGAAAAUAUGAAAAAUGCAGAUAUUCCAGCUUGACAAGGAAGAUACCCAACAUAGAGAAGAUAUAGCUUCAUUUCAGAACCUCCUUGAAUGGAUUUCUGAGUAUAUGAUCACGUCGUCAUUUGGCAAUCCCACACGGUCAAGGGUGAUCACUCCUCAUAAAGUAUUUUACAUCAGCAGAGAAAAGAGAGUGGAGGAACGGAAAGGAGGGGAAUCGCAGCCUGCUCUCCCCUGUAGAAAGACCUGCAACUUCUGCAGGUGGAUCUAUGGGUCAAGGAUUGGACUUCUAAGUCACCUCAAGACCCAUUAAUGUGCAGUGGUAGAGAUCAUCAUCAAAUCAAGGGAUUGCUACUGAUGCUGCCACCAUCGGGGUGUUCACAGUCUAUGGACUCGGAUAUAAAUUUCAGACUGCAUACUCCAUUCAGUUCAUACCAUAUCUCCUACAGUGCUAAUGGUAGAUUUCCACAGAAAUUAGAUGGGAAUGUAACCAUCAUAUUGUAGCUUCACUCAUAUUUGUUGUUGUUUACACAGUUCCUUAUAGUCAGAGACAGGUUCUCUCAAUGUGAAAACAUGAUCACAUUCAGUCUCCAUUACUUCUCUCCUUUGUUUUCCUUCCUUCCCCAUCUUUCUUUCUUUAUUUUCUCCCCCCACCCCACUUUCCUAUCUUUCUGAGUCUCCUGUGUUCCUUCUUGGGUUUUGCUUUGUUUUGUUUUGGGGUGGUUUUUUUGCCUGCAUCAAAUCCCAGUGCAUAUUCCAGGUCCUGAAGUAAUCAGCAAAGCUAAUAGGAAUGAUGACAUAGAAGCACCAUCAGUCUCUUUGGAAUUGCUGUUCCACUGAGAUUAAGAGGGACAGGGGAGUUCGCUCCUUUAUGCCACUCCUCCAGGCUGGCUGCAGAUUCUGGCCAUGUUUGUAGGAUUUGCUCUGCAGUCAUGAAGGGGCUAGAAUUUUUUUUAAUGGAAAGCUUAGAUUCUGCACAAACUGAAAAAAUCAUCCAGACAACCCAAGAACACCCUGUACGCCAUAUUGGUUAUUUAUGAUAUAGUGAUCCAAAUAUUUCCACGUUAGUUCCUGUUGUUACUUUAAAUGCAUUAUUUGAGAAAAAGACUUCUAGGACAAUGCAAUCACAUGUGAUGCUAAG